rnacentral:piRNA from 1 species
AAUAGAGGUACAAAUGCCUUCAAAGGCCU